CGUAUCCUCGCCAUGAUGCCUGGGAAGGUGCAUCUGGCAGAGGAGUUGCUUAACAAAAAGGUAUCUUUCCUUAAUGUUAGCCUAACAUCCUAUUUCAGCUGACUUAUGAAGGUCAGCUCCUAAGAUAGCCUACCCUCGAGUAGUGAGGGAAAGGGCCCAAGGCAAAGAUCGGCUGGAUUUUAAAAAAACCACACGGGCUACCAGAUGGUCAAAAUGCCUUGUGUUAACUCGCCAAAGCGAAGUUGCCGAAAAAUGAGAAGAUAGGACAGUCAGAAGGAUAGCAAUGUAUGUAGUGUGUUAAGUGUGUGGGCCAGUGUUGAUGUAUGGGUGGGGGGAGGAUGGGGAAGGAUGGGGGGAUGGGGAUGAGAGGGGUGAACAAGCAAGCAAGUCACCGCCUUACCCUCUUGAUGGGAUGGGGCUCGAAGUGACUGCAAGCAAGUCUCCUCUCAGCUCUGGUGAAGAACUACUCAGGAAAACCCAAGUAAAUUCUCGAGCAACAGUGUUCAGAGUUGCUCAGCUGAAGAGCGGGAACGACGACGUCUUCUCUCCACGGUGGCUGGGCUCUUCCUUGUAUCGUCCCUCCCUAUCCCGGGUUAUCCUGGGUGGCUAACCCUCCCUACCCAGGGUUAUCCUGGGUGGAUAACCCUCCAUACCCCGGGUUAUCCUGGGUGGCUAACCUUUCUCCGGGCUAAAAUCCCAGCAAAUCUUAUCUUACCUCCUGUUAAUGGAGAUGGGUGUUCCAGAAUUACUGGUAAGAAAUAGACUUCUGGUGUAACUCAUUAAUGAGGAAAUCUGUGCAACCCGUCCAGAUUAAACCGUACCACGGGUGGGGAUAGAACCCGCGAUCAGAGUCAAAACUCCAGACCGUCGCGUUAGCCACUGGACCAGCUAGCCACAAUAAGAUUCGUCCAACUAGAUAUAUUUCUACACCAUAGGAAGGUUAGCAUAGGCACCACUGUGACCACAAAUGCAAGUUUUUUUUUAUUGUCGCUAGCUGGUCCAGUGGCUAACGCGACGGUCUGGAGUUUUGAGACUCUCUGAUCGCGGGUUCUAUCCCCGCUCGUGGUAUGGUUUGUUUGCAAUCGUGUCAUUACGAUUUCGUGAGUCAUGUCCGUCCAGAUUAUUUAAGAGACGCUGGUCUGGUGUGAGCUUCUCACAUCCUCGUUAAUAUGAGAGUAUUUGUUGAGUAAACGUCUGCUCAGUGAUUUGUUGAAAUACUUAAAUGAUUUUAAUAAUGUAGCUUAAUACUGUGUACAAAUGGAAGACAUGUAUUUAGGCUGUUAAUAAGUAUUUAUAAUUUUACACCAACAGAAGUUUAUGUAAGCAGGUAAAGCUUAUUUUAGCAGGCAAAGCUAAUUUAAGCAGGCAAAGCUAAUUUAAGCAGGCAAAGCUAAUCUAAGCAGACAAAGCCGAUUUUAACAGACAAAGCUUAAGCAUGCAAACCUUAUUUAAGCAGGCUAAAUUUAGACAUGCUAAGCUUAUUUAAAAAAAGUUAAGCUGGUGGUGUGGCCCGCCAAGGUGAGUGAUGUAAAGCUGGUUUCUUUGUUUCUUGAUCCAUUGAUUUUGAGCUGCCUCUCUUCACUUGCAUCAAACUCCAUUAUCACCCAUUUCUCAGACGCUGUUAUAGCCCUUGCUAUUUUAGUGCUUCCAUAGGAAAUAAUAAUGUACAUUUAUAUGCUCUUUGGUUGCCAUGACUACACACACUCCUGCACACUGUCUUUCAUAUAUAAUAUUUUUGUAUAGAGGAUCGUGUUUAUAGCUCUCACAAGACUUUAUGUAAUACUACAUGUCUUAUUUUAUGUAUAUAUCAGAAAUUUUUUUGAAGAGGUUUAGGGCUAAAACUAACAUUUUUUCCAUCACUUUUUGUAAUAAGCAUCGAUAUUAUUGUUAUAUUUGGGAUUACCGCUAGACCCGUAGGGGUGAGACAGCCUUGGGUAGCGAGAGACAAUCAGGCUUGAUCCAAGAAAGGGAAGAACAGGUUCAAUUUCCCGAAUCAAGAACCUAUCACCAGCAUCAAGGAACCUCCCUAGACCGGUUCAACAAUAGUAUAACUAUAUACAGUCUAUAUACAAAAUAAUACUGAAUAUAUUUCAAAGGGAUUACGAUUUAGAAAAUGCUAAAUAACUUUUAAACGGGUGCAGAAUUUUCAAAUGAAUAUUAAUUUAAAACAGUAUGAAACUGCCCAGUCAGGUUGUUUUAGAUAAUUAGUCUCCAGGUGACUGGCUCAGGUUACUUCAGUAAUAGUGUUGAGUAAAUCUGGAAAACUGUUGUGGUUGUCGCAGGAAUAAGUGUGGUCAGUAAUUUUCAGUUUAUAGAAGUUGUUUGUAAACAAUAAUCAGGUGAAUUAACUGUCCAGUACCAUAUGUUUUAUGACCGUUUAUAGUGAUAUUUUUUUUUAUAUUUUAUUUAAAACGUAAUAUUACAAAUUUAUAGUGAUAUAGCAGGGUAUAUAAUGAUAUGGCAGGGCAUAUAAUGAUAUAGAAUGACCCUGGUGGGUUCUGUGCAUAGUUCUCAUUGUAAUAAUAAUGAUAUACAAUGAUUUAUAAAAAAAAAUAUUGAAUGUAAGGAUCCUUCGAUUGGGGGGAAGCGGGGAGUGUCUUCAAACAAGGCAUUAGAGCUGUUUUUUCCUCCUCCUCGGAUCAAAUCUGAUUACCUACCAUUAUCUAGGCAUUGUAUUACCCUUGCUGGCUUAGCGCUUCACCAUAAAUAGAGUUUAAUAUAAGGUAAUGCAUCGUUCUACCCAAAAAUGUCUAGUCCAGUGUGGGUCAACUUAAGACAAUUUGUUUCCAGAAUAUUUACAAAACAAGGACAACGUUAUUUUUUUGUAGUUUACAUGUAAAUACAAUAUUGUAAAUGACAAGACAAAAUAAAGAUUUAAUUAAAAAUAA